rnacentral:rRNA from 1 species
GUUAGUUACUACCAUUCAGUUGAGGACUCUAAUGAGACUGCCAACGACAAGUUGGAGAAGGUGGGGAUGACGUCAAAUCAUCAUGCCCUUUAUGACCUGGGCUACAAACGUACUACAAUGGGCCCAAAGUACAAAGGGUCGCGAACCCGCGAGGGGGAGCCAAUCCCAAAAAGCCGCUCUCAGUUCGGAUUGCAGGCUGCAACUCGCCUGCAUGAAGCCGGAAUCGCUAGUAAUCGCGGAUCAGCAUGCCGCGGUGAAUACGUUCCCGGGCCUC